AUUGAACGCUGGCGGAAUGCUUUACACAUGCAAGUCGAGCGGCAGCACGGGGGCAACCCUGGUGGCGAGCGGCGAACGGGUGAGUAAUACAUCGGAACAUGCCCAGUCGUGGGGGAUAACACUUCGAAAGAAGUGCUAAUACCGCAUACGUCCUGAGGGAGAAAGCGGGGGAUCUUCGGACCUCGCGCGAUUGGAGUGGCCGAUGUCAGAUUAGCUAGUUGGUGGGGUAAAGGCCGACCAAGGCAACGAUCUGUAGCUGGUCUGAGAGGAUGAUCAGCCACACUGGGACUGGGACACGGCCCAGACUCCUACGGGAGGCAGCAGUGGGGAAUUUUGGACAAUGGGGGCAACCCUGAUCCAGCCAUUCCGCGUGAGUGAAGAAGGCCUUCGGGUUGUAAAGCUCUUUCGGCAGGAACGAAACGGCGAGCUCUAACAUAGCUUGCUAAUGACGGUACCUGAAGAAGAAGCACCGGCUAACUACGUGCCAGCCGCCGCUGUAAGAC
rnacentral:rRNA from 1 species